AAGUUGAGGACGACCAUCUAGAACGGGAAAAUGUUUCCGCAUACAAGCCAUCAUGGAUAAAGCCUCUGCAGUAAGCUACAAACAUUGAAGACUUGCAGAAAACAUGAACUUUAGGUUAUUUAUGUGCAAUUUGGGGUAGCAUGGUUGGUAUUUUCUAAUGAAAAGCCAUGAAAUCAUUACAGCAACUAGUAUAAAGACCAUCAAGCUUCUUUACCAGAAAUUGUGCAUCCAUGUAAGAUUUUUUGGUUCGUUUUUGUACUCAGAUAAGCAGCAGACAGAGAAUUUCAAGUUAUGCACCUGGUCUGAAAGUCAGUUAUUACUGCAUCAACAACCCAAACUGGAAAUUCCUUCCCCAGCAGUUUCUUUCUUAGCUCCACAGCUGUAUAAGCUCUAAAGGAUAAAUGCACAGUUUAGUAACAAAAGUUCAUCAGUGGCAUAUAUUGUGUAGCAAGAUCGAGUUUGACUAUUUAGUGACUUAAAAUUUUAUUACUAAGUAAUGAAUCUGAGGAUAGAAUAAAAACAGAAAAAGACAAAACUUUUUAAAUUCUCCACAUGAACUAAAUUGGAAGCCAUACUCAUUUUCGAGUAGUGAACACAUUCUCAUGGCCAUUGUAGCAUGUUGCAGUGGAAUUAUUAUAGUACGCUGGAAUCAAAUGACAGGACCAAACAUAAGGUCCACUUCAGGACAUGUAAUAAGUAUUAACAUGGCGAAAAUUGUCUCAGAAGUUACUCCUGCUCAUAUAAGAAAUGCAUAAGGUUGCCCAUACUUAGCAGAAAAUCAAUAAACCUGUGAAGCUUUACCACCUCGUAGCAAGUAAUUCAAUGGCCAACUUCUCAACAUCUUUCUUUAUUCGAGAUCCUUGAAUCCUAUGGUCUUGAUUGCUCUCCUCUUCCGAAAAACCUUCGAGUUCCUCCAUGACCUCGUAGCUGUCGUACUGCAUAUGAUCAUCAGGUUCUUCUCCAAUCCCUAAAAAUGGAAGAUGUCGCUAAGUAUCUCAAUUGAACUCUACCAAUCGAAAAAAUAUCUAUGAGAUAAGCGUAUCAAAAGUCCUACCCAAUCCAGCAUCAUAAUCAAUUCUUUUUGCAUAUUGGCUUUGAAACUUGUUAUCUACAAUACAAAUCUGGCCACAGCUUGAAGUCUGUGCACUUUUGGAAAGAUCACGUCUCUGUUCAUUUGAUUGAACAACUCUACUUGUACCAAAUUCAAUAUUAUUUUUUAUGCUGUUAAUUGGGUUUUCAUUUUGAUCUUGAAACUCAGUGUCCCCCACAAAGCUCCUGCUGCUGCAUGAUGUCUGCACACUCUUGGAAAGUUCACUUCUUUGUAUAUUUGAUCGAACAGCUCUAUUUGAAGCUGAACCAACAUCACAGUCUAAGUUAUCAAUUGGCUUUUCAUUCUCAUUCAGAAACUCUGCACCAACAACAAAGCUUCUGCCACUGCAUGAGGUUUGAGCACGUUUGGAAAGUUCACGUCUGUCCUCAUUUGAUCCAGCAACUGUAAUUGUAUCCAAUCCAACAUCAGCUUUCAAACUGUUAGUUGGCUUUUCGAUUUGACUUUGAAACUCCAUGUCCACAACAAAGCUCGUGCUACUGCAAGAAGUCUGUGCACCUUUAAAAUGUUCCAUUCCCUCUAGAUUUGAUUGAACAACUUUACUUGUAUCCAAUCCAGUAACUGGCUUUUCUCUUUCUUUUUGGUAUUGAAACUCCGUGUCAGCAACAAAGCCCCUGCUACUGCAAGAUGUCUGCGCACUAUCCGAAAUUCCAAUCCUUGGUACAUUUGACUCAACAACUCUACCACCAUCCAAUGUCACAUCAUUGCUUAUGUUGUGAAUUGCAUUUUCAUUUAGAUUUCGAAGCUUGGAACCUAAAACAAAGCCCCUUGUACUGCAUGAAGUCUGCUCACUUUUGGAAAGUUCAAAUCUUUUGCCAUUUGAUUCCGAACUAUUAGUACCAUGUAUUUUCACAUCACCUAAUCCAUUUGAGGGAGAAUAAAAAGAAGCUUCUGGUUCUUUAUUUUCUAACAAUUUCUUAGGAAUGUACCUUACUGGAACCGAAUUGCUGUAGUCUCUCCUCCUUGAACAGCUAAUAAUUCCCAUCUUCAUCUUCUUUUUCACCCUAACAAGUAAAAGUUCGAGUCUUUUUCACUACAAUCAAGUUUGUACAUCGAAAAAACCAUCGCCUGCGUUCUCUCCACAAUUCCAAAUAUAAGAACAAAACUCUAACUUUGUACUAGAAUUCCCAGGAUUAAUAUUUUUUUUUCUCGAAAGAAAAAGAAAGGGAAACGGGAGAAUUACUUACCAGGGAAUCAGAAGGACUUGCCUCUGUAGCUGAAUUGCAGUUCUGGGGAUUAGAUUUGCAGAUGAAAUCGCCAUUAUUGGUUUCGAGUUUGAGAGUGGAAUCAUAAAACUAAAACCCUAGGCAACAAAGCAUAAUUGUGGGAAUUAUGAGGUUUUAUCCGUGCCUGAUAGCGUUAGAGAGUAGUCUCAAAAAGCGAACCCGCUACUCAAAGUGUCACUAGCACUCGGAAAUGGGCACGCUUCAGCCGUUUUUCAGUUGUGAUAAUCACCCCAACGACUGAACUCCCACUUCUACUGUGCAGAACAUGGAAGAACCCCAGUUAUCUUCCCGAUGCCAAUUGCUUCACUAGGUUCUCCAAUUUAUUUGAUGAAACAUAUGGAAGGCUUUCGGGGGCAAAAAGAAUUUAAAAAAAAAAAAAGUGUAGUGACAGUGAUAUACCACUCACUUAAUCCUUUUACUAGUUUAAUAAAAAAAAGAAGUGUUGAAACUUUUGGCUUCAAUUUUGGAUGAGAAACAGGCAAAAUUUAGGGGGUUGAAUUUCUUUGUUUAUUUACUAGAAAGAAUCAAGCAGGCCACUAAUUCAUGGAUGCUUGAAGGUCCUCAGGCUCUGUGAUAGUUCAUUUGCUGAUUUCAUCAGGGGAGUUCCAAAAUAAACCAUAUGUUAUCAGAAAGCCAAAAUAAGAUUUUUUUUUUUUUUUUUUAAAGUGCUGGAUGAUUACCCAAGAUGUAUGCAGUUUGAUGACACUUCACUAAAACUAAAUCCUGACACACUUUAUUUGAUAACCAAGGAGAAAAUCACCAGUACAUGUUACAAAAAUUUCCAGACCAUAAUAAUCCCACUCAUUCUGUCAUCCAAGCAUAAAGGAAAUGGCAGAAUUCAGUGCAGGAUAAUUCUUCCGGUCUUAAAUCACAAUUUUCACCACUAGGAGCAUCAUGGUCUAAAUUUCUUCCACCAUAGUCGUUAUCAAAUUCACAUUCAAGAGUACCUUGCAUGAAAAUGAAUGUCCCAGGUCCUGAUUCAUUGCUAUUGUAUAACCAAUCGUGCACAUCCCAGAAAAUCUGUACAGGCACGUCAUCCACUAAUAGAGUUUCAUUUCCCCUGAAUCUCCAAUGCAAGUUGGGAAUUCGUAGCGACUCAACGCCAUCCACACUAAUCCACAUUUCAGGAUCAUAAGGCCCUGAUAGAGCAGACUCGAUUAUGAUGUGAUGUUCCCUUUUACCUUUGCCUAACAUGGUUCUGGUGCAAAAACAUCUCUUGGCAAAAACACUCUCUUUCUUAUGCACUAAUGCAGCAUCCAUCGGUGACGGUUUUGACCUGGUUCUUUUAUAUGCUUCUGUCUUUUGAUCACCAAGCAAUAAAACAAGCUCUUUUUCAGAGACCAAAGCAACAUAGUAAUCAGAGACUGGUUCCGGGCUGCUGGAAAAUUUUGCUGUCCUUAAAUCCCAAAAGACAUCCACUCUUCUUUCACCUACUUUGAAGGAUUUUAGACCUUUUUUGCCCCAAAACUGCCAGGUUUGAGAUCUAUUUUGCAUGUUGAAUGAUUUUCCUCAGAAGGGUUCUCAACCAAGAUGUGAAGAGAGUGGCCCAUUAAACUUUUGGACCAUGAUACCAUGAUGUCCCGAGACAAUCCUGCAAGUCUGGCCCUGUGGAUGCAGGUUACAAAAUUCUCUAUACUUUCAUUUGCCACGGCCUCCGUUAAUCGUCUCUGCUCAAGUUGCUCAGGAUCCAAAGAGGAUGCAGUUUCCACAGGGAAUGCAACCAUUUUUCAGUAUUUUGCAUGAAAUUUACAUCCCUCGCUAUUUUGACAGUGAAAACGACAGAACAUGCAUUGUUCCUUAAGCAGGGAUGAUAUCAUAUCCCAUUUUCAUUCUGGAAAUACAAAAUCUUCUCCCACGAGAUGAAUAUGUGCUUCAAAUCAAAAUCAUCAAACACAAAUGUCUUGUGUGCUCGGCAAUGCAAACUAGUUACUAGCAAUCAAGAUAUGGACACAAGCAAUAAGAAGUCUUUGCUUGGGAUGCUUUCAUUUGCAUUAUACAAGAUACAACCAGUUUUCACAACAUAUUCUUGACAAUUCCAUUCGCUGAUUUGGUUAAAAGAUAAGUAUCUUAAAUGGUGUACGUAGCACAUAUUUUAGGUCUACCUAAUGCAAAAUGCGCCAUGACGCUAGAGACUUGACAAAAUCAUAUUAAGCUGUAUGGAAUCCAUGGCAGAUACUACUAGACAUAUCUUACAUGAUUGUGAAGAACCAUAACCUGAUAUGCAAAUGCCCAAUUCUAUAUAUUCCAAGGCAGCAAAGAAAAGGACUUUAGGAAGGAUAGUGAGACUCUUAACUUCUUCAGCACAAAAUUGAUAAUGCUCAACUGAAGCCAUGGGAAUGGAGCCAGCGAACAAUCCUGGAUUUUCUUGUCUCUGUAGACACGCCACAACUUUGCAACCAUUGCUUUGAAGCCUGAGAAAAUAAAUGAUCCAUUGAACACUUUGAUAUACCAAGACCUGAUUCUUCAUCUUCACAAGCUGAAGCAUCAUUGAAAAUUAACUUUCUCACCUUCUCUGUGUCCACAAUGCUGACUCCCUUGCUAUAGAGGGCCUGAUAUUGGGAAGAAGAAAAAGAGAGCGAGCCAAAGCAAUUAUUUCCUUCCACAUCAAGAAAACUAAUGACUUGGUCCUUUCAUAAACAUGAAUAGCCUGGAAUUCCGAGUCACAUCAUCAUUGGUAGCAUCUCAGUCAAAUGACAAACACAUAGGGGUAAAAUGAUAUCAUGCGAAAGGACUUCUUUUAAAACAUCAUACACCUACUCAGAUUCCAUUUCCCACUAAUCAACUACUAAAUUAGAUUAAUUGCGGUAAUCAGCUACUAAAUUAGAUCAACUACUAAAUUAGACUAAUCAACUACUCAGAUUCCAUUGGCCACCACAUUAAUUGUGGGGUGGGAGGUCAAGGUUCAAACCUUGCCUCCCAUCAAUAUGCCUCUUUAUGAGGAUUGUUCUAAAUCCAUACGGUGCGUAGUGCACCUGUCUGGUCUAAUGUUAGUUUAGUCCCCGUCAGAUUCCUCGGCUCAGUUUGGCCACCCCCUUAGAGUAGGCUCCCCCCCUCCCUCCCACAAAAAAAGCUAAGAGUAGGCUAGAUGCGCCGUUACGAAAAAAAAUUCUAAAUUAGAUAUUUAGAUAUGGCCAGCUUGAUUAACAUGAGUGCAAAUUAGUAGAAACGCAUUAUUAACACUUCUCCCUCAUGAGGAUUUUCAUAUCUACAUACUGUACCUUUGACUGUUUACCUUCGUCAAAUGUGGCUACCCUAACUGCCGGAAAAGCAUUUACUUCAAGAAGGAAAUUCCAAUCCCAAUCACAAAGAUUAAAUUAAAUCAAUCAUGCAGAGUCUGAUACAUCAUCUAGUAACAGUUAUUGUCGAGCAAACUACACUUGGAAUGCAGAACUGAGAUGUUUGUACUAAAACAACAGAAAACAUUGUAAAACAAAAUGUAAGGAGCCACUCAACUGUUUUCGAUAAUUCACUACCCAUCUCCAUUGGGCGAAGGCACAGGGGAAUUAUCUAUAUGAAGAGAAGGAAACUAAUAACCUCGGUGGCAUCAACCUGAAAAGGAGCAAAGGCAACCAGAAAAGUAUAGCUAGCACAAUCCAAGUAAUAUAGAACAUGACACAAGUGAACUUUCGAGAGUAGCUCAAUUAAUACAUUUCAAGGAUGGCAUAUUUCAUUCGACACAAUAACAAAUUGAAGAAAUGAGGAUAGCUACAUUAAAGUUGCACUAUAAUUAGUAAGUUUCAUAUCCUUCACCUCUGGUGACGAUGGAUAACACUUGAAGAAAAGAAGAAAAGCUGAAGGAAUCAGAUAGGAAUGAACCCUACAAUUUUUAGAGCUACAUUAAAGCUACUGUAAAAUCAUUUUUAAAAAAAAAUCUACAAUUUUUCAUGCAAUUAUCAUAUUUUUUCUAUAGGCAUACUGGGAGGUUGAAGGUAGAUGCUGCAUUACAAUAUACAACAAUUGAGGCUCCCUAACCUUAGGGGCUUCUUUGCCUACAGAUUUCUAGUAAAGGAAGGGGAUAGGUGAUAAGAAAAUAUCAAUCAGAAAUCCCACAAUUCUCUGAUCAAAGGUCAGAACAGAAAAGUUUUUUGAGCAAGGUAGUUAUGCUAUACUCACCAAUUCAGACUUGAAAGAAGAAAGUGCAGCACAUCAUGAUCUGCAUAGUUGAACAUUCUUGUACCCCAGAACUUGUGAUUGCCUACCUACCAGUGCGAGAAGAGUUGGACAAACAUAAAAUUAUGCUCCUUGUGCACCAUAUUAGAGCAUGUCUGUGUGUUUGUAUGUCUGUAUAUGUGUGUGUGCCAAAAAGAGAGAGAGAUUGACUAGAAACAGAAAAAAGAUGGAGUUCAUAAGGUUAAUGAACCAACAAAUGUAUCAUAAAACAAACUGAUACAGUGAGAAAAACUUCCAAAACCAGAAGCUUAUAUGGCAUGGACAAAAACUUCUCUGUGAUGGAAUAGAAAGGAGCAUAACUUAUCACCACCUUAAAGGACAUCCCCCCCUCCUUUUCUAUUCCCUAUUAACUUCCAGUAUGUAAAUUCUAGACCAACCAAAAAACAAUAUCAGUAUAAACUAUUGGUAAGAAUCUUGAUCAAUGCUAAGCUAGAAAACCUCAUUUCCACUGGAUCUGGCAUACAAUCACACCUUAUAACUUGAAAAUUAACUCAUCAAACAAGCAAAUUAGUAUUACUUUGAAUAAUUUCCUAAGAUGAGAGUGACCAUGUGACAGUACUCAAAAGGACACCUAGUAGUAGCAGGUCAAGAAAACAAUAGGAUCAAUCUGUAAAUAUAAUCAAUUCAUAGAAGUGACAACUGACUUUUGUAUGUUGAGUAAAAUCUACAAGGAAAAUGUAAGCCAAACUUCCUCAUUCAGCACACAUGCUAAUAACUUGGUAAAAACAGUUCAGAAGAAAGAGCGGAAAAACCACUAUCUUAUACUAAUAAUUCUGUUAUUCUUCUUCUCCUCUCUCGAAUCAAUCAAUUAUCAGUUUGUUUAAUGGCUUGUUAAAAGGGUAGCACACGGACAGCUCAAAUUUAUCAUUGACUACUUCUAGUCUUCUGGCUUAAAAGAAAACUAAUUUGUUUAUGAAGAACAUUUCUCAAUAUGAAUAUAUAAAAGUCACUUCCACACUUAAAGGGGAGAAUGGCUUUAGUAAUUUCUUCUAAAAUCUUACAAGUUAAUUUUUUUAACUGAAAAUUAAGAGAACCAAUUCUUUUCCUUAUUCUGAUAAUAGAUGACAAAUUUCACAAUAGGUAUUUUUUUCAACAGGUAUAGAUUAAAUAUUGGCACACAAAUGAUGAAAGAUAGAAGUUAUAGGUCAUCAGAGAAAAGCAAAGAAGCACAUGCAUAUUUCUAUGAAUUACAAGUCAAUUUUCAAAAAUUACCAUGUGCUAAGUCAACCAAGCGCUUAAGGUCCUCUAGCGUACCAUAACAGCUGCUAACAGCAUAAAAAUUAGUCACCUGUUGAAGAAUUGAAAUAUUAUGCUACUGAAAAGGUAAUUUGACAGCAGUCAGCUUUUACUGAACUAGAAAAUCCGUUGGAUAACCGAGUUGCAUAAGUGAAAAUAUUUUCAAUCUGAGCAUGUACAUCUCUUAGGACACUCAGUGAGUAGAAAUAUUAGAGGAUGCAUUCUAGCACAUUUGAAUUCUGUCUGCAGUAAAAAGCAGGUUUUCUAAGUCUGCAUUCGGUCCAGGAGUUCACUGUAUAAUGGAGAAUGCAUGAGACCCGUCAAAAUAUACUUCAUCCAAAAGAUCAAUAGGUCACAAAUAUAUUUCCAAUUUGAUAGUCCUAUCUUGCAGCCUUUUCAAAUCCUAAUUCCACAGGAAGAUUUAUGCAAGUAAAACAAUAUGGUACUAAUUACCAAAUUCAAGAAAAGAUUCAUGUCAUGGUACAUUAAGAGAUUGUAGUUCAACACUUGGUUAUUACUUCAUGAAGGAAUAUGGAUAAUGAACAUCUAAUUCCGAACUCACUCUAUAAAAGUAGUCUUUGUGCUCAACAAGUCCAAUCAAUUGGAUUGCAUUGUAACCAGAUUCUUUUACGUGUGGCAGGACCUAUAAAGAUGAAGUUGCAAUUAAAGGGCAGAAUAUAACAGGAAAUAAAGACAACAAAAGCAAAAAAAAAAAAAAAAGUAAAAUAACUUGAAGAAUUGCCUUUUGAAUGAAAGUAUCACAAGAUGCAACUUUUGCAUCUUGUCCACUAAUUCCAACAUGACAUUCACAUAUGCGUAAAGACUUUGGCUUUGGUCGAUUCUCGUGCUUCCAUUUAUAUUUAGAUUCAGAAGGCAGUUCCCAGUGGAUUGCGAAAGCUUGCUUGCGAUCUUCAUCUGCAUGUUCAAAUAGCAUUCAAUAUUGAACUGCUACAGGAUGACAGCACAGAAAUAAAUGAUACACAAAACAAAAUCAAUAAAAAAAGGUGUGUGGCAAUGAUGGGAAGUCAAUUAGAGGUAAGGAUACAUUCUUCAUUUAACUCUGACAUCAGUGCAGCAUGAAUGUCAAAACUUUGUGUUUUGCCUCUAUCUUUGUAGGAAUACAAAAAAUUAACUAGUAUUGCUUUUUCUCAUGAAACUUGUUUUACUACCACUAAAAGGAAAAUACCUAUACUGACACAAGAAUAUCACCCGAAUAAGUUCAUUUCUGAGACCAAAAUCAAGUUAAGCAGAGCAAUUAAUGUUGCCAAGUAAAGUUACUUCAAAAGUAAAGAGAGUACAUGGUCAGCAAUGUACCUCCAAAAAACAAAAAUUAAUGGAACACAUGUUCGAACCAUGAAAAUGAUUACCUUUACAAGUGAAGUGGCGUACAAUAGUGUGAGCAUUAAAUUAUACUAUUUAAGCAUCACUUUGCAAACUACGUGAACAGAUAAGAGAUGCUAGCAACCACUGGAUACCUGGGACUACAUAAAUGGCCCAGGCAGGAACCCUUUCCAGAGGCCCCGCUGGAGUAUUACAAUAUACUCUAUAUUUGCUCCUGUGGGGGAUACCAGGCAUAUACUUUUUCAACCACAAUUUCCUUCCUUUAUGAGUCUUCAACCAGUUGGCAAUGGGAGGACUCUUAGAAUGGAAUUUCUCUAGCCAUAUGGGAUCGUCUAUGAUGUUGAAAACAUCAUAUUCUUUCAUUCCAGUCUCUAUCACGUGAGUAGAAGGUAAAUUGCUUGAUAAAUCAUCUCCAUGCUGCACUUUCCAGGCCUUUUACCUAGUCCCCAGAUCAGCUAUCUCUUCCAGCUCCUCUUUUGUUUGAGGCCCAUUAGGGCCAAAUAUCUGCUCAUACAGCUUAGCUGCCACCUCAUAAUGUGACUUAAUGAAGCGGUUUUCACCAGGUUCCCAAUAUUCAUCAUUUGCUUUCUUAAACAUCUCUUCCAUUGUAAUCCCAUUGUCACCUUUAUCAUAAUCAUCCACAUAAUUGUACUGUUGAAAGUAGUAUUCAUCUGGUUCUUCACCUUCCGUAAAUGUCUUCAAAAAUCAUAAACCAGUAACCAUAGUCAUCAUGGCCAAAAUGACCUUCCCUGGCACAAUUUUCAGUGGGUGACCAGCCAUUAAAAUAUCCAACAAUAGCACAAUAACAAGCACUGAAUGUCAAGAUUUUCAGCUUCACAUAUGAGCUUCACAAGCAAUGGUAAUUGCAUUCAGAAACAACACAUGUCUGAACUUAAAGUGGAGAUGCUAAAUCCUAAUCCUAAACUAACAUCUAUAAAAACAUUUUAAGACUGAUAUUUAAGCUUCCAGAUAUUUAAACUAAAACUUCUAGACAUGAACUACUCUUACAUGGUGUCUAAAACUAAAACAUCUCUUAGAUAAGCUUCCAGAUACGCCCACCAACGAGCUCGAAUUUGAACUAAGCAAGAAAAGACACUUGCCCUCAUACAAACAAUAUCCUCAGAGAUGUUGUCAAACCUGGAGCCCACUCCAAGAAAUCCACCCGAUGCUGUGCAUUUCGUUGCAUUCCUAGUAGUUCAUAUCUAGAAUUCAAAAACAUAGGCAUCACUCCAGUAGUUCAUAUCUAGUAAUAAGAAACAUAGGCAUCACUAGUAACACACAUGCUAUAAUUGCUAAUUAUGGAAAAAAUAAAGAGAAUUCAGCUAAGAAUUCUGACAAACACUUGGAUAUCAAAAACAACGAAAGUCAGUAACUUUCAAAAACAUGAGGAACUAGAACUUUAAAUAAUAGUAUAAGAUAGCCCAAUAUUAAUAUGUGAAAAAGAAAGAAAGCACUAACCCAGAAGCCAGCUCCUCAGGUUGAGGUAACGUUAAACAUCCCAUCGCGCGAGUAAAAGUGAAAAAUCAAACUAGGUAUCUCUUCUAAUAAAAACCAAAACUUUCAUAAUUACGAGGAAAACAAGAAGGGCUAAAGGUCAAACAAUACUAGCUUUCACGAAGGAAAAAGGCGAAGGCUUUAUGUGAAAUGCCAUGUUUGGUGAGGAACCCAACCGGGUAGACCCCUUUAUCUUUAUCAGCAUGCUGGGUUUGGCUUACCUUAGUAGCUCCAACAUUGCUUCUUUGGGGAAUCCGAAACUGCUGCGUUUCCGGGAAGGGUUCCAUUUUUGCCGGCUCGGAAGAGGAAUUUGAGAGGAGGAUAUUCCUCCGAAUUGGUGGAAAGUAAUGAAAUUUUAGUCGAGUUCGUCAAUGAUGCCAUCAUAAUCGAUGCUGCUAAAUUUUUGCCGCAGUUUGCAAGUAUAGAGAGUAGAGGCAGUAGAAAAGUAAGAGAGAGGAGUUUUGUGCAGUUAAAUGAAAUUGAUUUUUUUUUCUUUUUUGGUAAAUAAAGAUGCAUUAAAAUAAAAAGUGAAUUGUACGGAGUAACAGUUGAAUGAAAUUAAUUACAGUCAGGUGGCAUGGCGCAAGGACUCGUGUGGUAACAGUUGAAUGAAAUUAAUUACAGUCAGGUGGCAUGGCGCAAGGACUUUGGAUUGAGACUUUUUGCAUAAAGUUAUCCUAGUCUGGUGCCUAGUUACAUCUUUGGGGUUGAGGUUUGUGGCUUGGCUUGUGGCUUGUGGCUUGUGGCUUGUGGUCUAGUGCCUGGGUUCCAGCUUCAGCUUGUGAGCUCGAGCUUUGUGGCUUAUGGAGUGGCUUAUUGUAAAGACGAAAAGAAGCCUAUUAGCUAAACGUUCUAUCUCGCUAAACGGGGUUAAUGUAGUAAUUUCAACUUGCCCUAGGGUUUGCCAGCAAAGUACAAGUUAGACUGCAAAGCUGCUAUAAAUCACAACUUAUCUCCGUCACUUCGUAGUUUGCCUGUUCUCCACCUCUUCUUCUUCUUCUCUCUGUCUCUCUCUCUCUCCCCCUAACCCGUUUACUCAACCUAAAUGACCACCAAUUCCUAAUUUCGUAUGAGUCAUCUCCUCCUCAUAAAAAUCAAAAGGAAAAAGGAAAAAAAACUCCAUCGCCUUCUCCUACUACCUCUUGCUUCUCAAAUCCCUGGAUAUGAUCCUUCUAUAUGUCAAAUUCCUGUAUCUGAUUUGAUUGCUUUUAUAUGUUUAGAUCUGGCCUACUUCCACCUGUUAGUCGCUCCAGCACACCUUCAGAUGGCGUUAAUUGGUAUGAAGACGGGGAAGGUGUUCAUAAAUGAGGCAAACACCCUCACAAAGAGCAAGGUUGACAACACCUGUCUAUACUUUUCCUUCUUCCUAGUCCAAGAUUUCAUCUUUUAACCGAAAAACAGGAAAAAAAUUGAAAACGCCCAAUCGCCUCCUCCUAUCACCUCUUGCUUAAUUCCUUCUAUAUUUCAAAUUCCUGUAUCUAAUUGGAUUGCUCUUAUAUGUUUCGAUCUGGCCUACUUCCACCUGUUAGUCGCUCCAGAGGCAUCUUCACCUUCAUAUGGGGUUAAUUGGUAUGAAGACGGGGAAGGUGUUCACAAAUCAGGCAAACACACUCACAGAGAGCAAGGUUGACACCUCUGUCUAUAUUUUUCCUUCUUCCUAGCCCAAGAUUUCAUCUUUUGACCGAAAUGCAGAAAAAAAAAAACAAAAUUAAAAAAGGCGCAUCGCUUCCUCCUACUACCUCUUGUUUCUCAAAUUCCUGGAUAUGAUUUAAUUCCUUCUAUAUGUCAAAUUCCUAUAUCUGAUUUGAUUGCUUUUAUAUGUUUAGAUCUGGCCUAUUCCAUCUGUUAGUCGCUCCUCUGUUAAUCGCUCCAGUGGCAUCUUCACCUUCAGAUGGCUUUAAUUGGUAUGAAGACGGGGAAGAUGUUCACAAAUCAGGCAAACACCCUCACAGAGAACAAGGUUCGCACUUGUGUACGAAUCAAGAUUUUAUUUUUAACCAGAUACCUCUUCCGUCUACCAUUCCGAUCCAAUAUUCCAUCUUUAACCGAAAACGGAUACCUCUUCUAUUUACCAAUUCAAGAUUUGAUCUUUAACAAAACUUCUUGUCUUGUAUUUUUCCUAUCUUUACCCAAAACGGAUUUCGCCUAUAAUUUUUUUUGAUACUUUGUGGUAAGUGCGAUUGUCCUUUUUCUUGAAUUUUUUUUUGAAAUAGUUUUGUUUUAAAAUUAUUUUGACUCACCCUAAUUUUUUGAGCCCAAAAAAUCAAAUGUUGUUUUGGGUCUAUUCGUGAUAGAACCCAAAACAAACAUUUGUUUUGGGCUCUCACGUUUGGACCCAAAAAAUAUUUAAGUUUUUUGUGAUGGAUGUACUAAGUCAGGAGACGAACAUUUUUUCACCAUUUUGCCCACUAUUUUUGUGAUCAUUUGUUUUGGGCUCUAUAACAUUUGGAUCCAAAAAAUAUACAAGUUUUUUGUGAUGGACGUACUAAUUCAGAAGACUACAUUCUCUCUCUUCCUUUUCCGGCAAGGGCCAAAUGGUAACAUUUUUCCACCAUCUUGCCUACAAUUUUUGUGAUCAGAUCUGGAACUUUGGCCCAUAGAUUAAUAAGUUUUUGAGCCCAUUAUAAAAAUUGUUAACCCUAAUCCUCUGCAGAAGUCUAACUAUGUUACGUACGCCUCCUUUUUGCCCUUUUUCCCUCUCUCAUGUUUUCAUGUCUCCUCUGCAGAAGUCUAACUAUGCUACGUAAGUCUCCUUUUUGCCAUUUUUCCCUCUCUCAUGUUUUCAUGUCAUUUUUGGAUUUUUAAUGUCAUUUUUUGCUGUGUAGGUUUUCCCAGAUUGCCGUUGUUAUCUGCACUUGCACCUGAUGCUGAUGUUAAAGGUAUUGGUAUUUAUUUUUUAUUUUAUUUUUAUGGAGAAGAUUGUAAUAAUUUUUUUAAUUUAUUGUGAUUUCUUUUUUAUGGAGAUCUAAUAUUGGUUUAUUCCUUUCACUUUUUAGUUUUUUGGGUUUAAUAUUUGUUGAUUUUUUUUGUUUUAAUAUUUGUUGAUUUUUUUUUCAAGAGUCUGCUAUCCCCCCAUUUUGCCGUCUACAUAUGGCUGGGACGGAGAAUCUGCAUUUGAAGAAGGGCAUGUUAGUACGUUAAUGUUACGGCAAAAUGGGGGGAUAGCAGACCCUUGAAAAAAAAAUCAACAAAUAUUAAAACAAAAAAAACAACAAAUAUUAAACCCAAAAAACUAAAAACUGAAAGGAAUAAACCAAUAUUAGAUCUCCAUUAAAAAGAAAUCACAAUAAAUUAAAAAAAUUAUUACAAUCUCCUCCAUAAAAAUAAAAUAAAAAAAUAAAUACCAAUACCUUUAGCAUCAGCAUCAGGUGCAAGUGCAGAUAACAACGGCAAUCUGGGAAAACCUACACAGCAAAAAAUGACAUUAAAAAUUCAAAAAUGACAUGAAAACAUGAGAGAGGGAAAAAGGGCAAAAAGGAGGCGUACGUAGAGAAUCCUCUGCAGAAGUCUAACAAUUUCGCCUAUAAUUUUUUUUGAUACUUUGUGGUAAGUGCGAUUGUCCUUUUUCUUGAAUUAUUUUUUGAAAUAGUUUUGUUUUAAAAUUAUUUUGACUCACCCUAAUUUUUUGAGCCCAAAAAAUCAAAUGUUGUUUUGGGCCUAUUCGUGAUAGAAUCCAAAACAAACAUUUGUUUUGGACUCUCACAUUUGGAUCCAAAAAAUAUUUAAGUUUUUUGUGAUGGAUGUACUAAGUCAGGAGACGAACAUUUUUCCACCAUUUUUGUGAUCAUUUGUUUUGGGCUCUGUAACAUUUGGAUCCAAAAAAUAUACAAGUUUUUUGUGAUGGACGUACUAAUUCAGAAGACUACAUUCUCUCUUUUUUCUUUCUCUUCCUUUUCUGGCAAGGGCCAAAUGGUAACAUUUUUCCACCAUCUCUCCUACAAUUUUUGUGAUCAGAUCUGAAAUUUUGUCCCAUAGAUUAAUAAGUUUUUGAGCCCAUUAUAAAAAUUGUUAACCCUAAUCCUCUGCAGAAGUCUAACUAUGCUACGUACGCUUCCUUUUUGCCCUUUUUCCCUCUCUCAUGUUUUCAUGUCUCCUUUGCAGAAGUCUAACUAUGCUACGUACGCCUCCUUUUUGCCCUUUUUCCCUCUCUCAUGUUUUUAUGUCAUUUUUGGAUUUUUAAUGUCAUUUUUUGCUGUGUAGGUUUUCCCAGAUUGCCGUUGUUAUCUGCACUUGCACCUGAUGCUGAUGCUAAAGGUAUUGGUAUUUAUUUUUUUAUUUUAUUUUUAUGGAGGAGGUUGUAAUAAUUUUUUUAAUUUAUUGUGAUUUCUUUUUUAUGGAGAUCUAAUAUUGGUUUAUUCCUUUCAGUUUUUAGUUUUUUGGGUUUAAUAUUUGUUGUUUUUUUUUGUUUUAAUAUUUGUUGAUUUUUUUUUCAAGGGUCUGCUAUCCCCCCAUUUUGCCGUAAUAUUAACGUACUAACCUGCCCUUCUUCAAAUGCAGAUUCUCCGUCCCAGCCAUAUGUAGACGGAAAAAUGGGGGGAUAGCAGACCCUUGAAAAAAAAAUCAACAAAUAUUAAAACAAAAAAAAUCAACAAAUAUUAAACUCAAAAAACUAAAAACUGAAAGGAAUAAACCAAUAUUAGAUCUCCAUAAAAAAGAAAUCACAAUAAAUUAAAAAAAUUAUUACAAUCUUCUCCAUAAAAAUAAAAUAAAAAAUAAAUACCAAUACCUUUAACAUCAGCAUCAGGUGCAAGUGCAGAUAACAACGGCAAUCUAGGAAAACCUACACAGCAAAAAAUGACAUUAAAAAUCCAAAAAUGACAUGAAAACAUGAGAGAGGGAAAAAGGGCAAAAAGGAGGCGUACGUAGCAUAGUUAGACUUCUGCAGAGGAUUAGGGUUAACAAUUUUUAUAAUGGGCUCAAAAACUUAUUAAUGUAUGGGCCAAAGUUCCAGAUCUGAUCACAAAAAUUGUAGGCAAGAUGGUGGAAAAAUGUUACCAUUUGGCCCUUGCCGGAAAAGGAAGAGAAAGAAAAAAGAGAGAGAAUGUAGUCUUCUGAAUUAGUACGUCCAUCACAAAAAACUUGUAUAUUUUUUGGAUCCAAAUGUUACAGAGCCCAAAACAAAUGAUCACAAAAAUAGUGGGCAAAAUGGUGGAAAAAUGUUCGUCUCCUGACUUAGUACAUCCAUCACAAAAAACUUAAAUAUUUUUUGGGUCCAAACGUGAGAGCCCAAAACAAAUGUUUGUUUUGGGUUCUAUCACGAAUAGGCCCAAAACAACAUUUGAUUUUUUGGGCUCAAAAAAUUAGGGUGAGUCAAAAUAAUUUUAAAACAAAACUAUUUCAAAAAAAAAUUCAAGAAAAAGGACAAUCGCACUUACCACAAAGUAUCAAAAAAAAUUAUAGGCGAAAUCCGUUUUGGGUAAAGAUAGGAAAAAUACAAGACAAGAAGUUUUGUUAAAGAUCAAAUCUUGAAUUGGUAAGUAGAAGAGGUAUCCGUUUUCGGUUAAAGAUGAAAUAUUGGAUCGGAAUAAUAGACGGAAGAGGUAUCUGGUUAAAAAUAAAAUCUUGAUUCGUACACAAGUGCGAACCUUGUUCUCUGUGAGGGUGUUUGCCUGAUUUGUGAACAUCUUCCCCGUCUUCAUACCAAUUAAAGCCAUCUGAAGGUGAAGAUGCCACUGGAGCGAUUAACAGAGGAGCAACUAACAGAUGGAAUAGGCCAGAUCUAAACAUAUAAAAGCAAUCAAAUCAGAUAUAGGAAUUUGACAUAUAGAAGGAAUUAAAUCAUAUCCAGGAAUUUGAGAAACAAGAGGUAGUAGGAGGAAGCGAUGCGCCUUUUUUAAUUUUAUUUUUUUUUUCUGCAUUUCGGUCAAAAGAUGAAAUCUUGGGCUAGGAAGAAGGAAAAAUAUAGACAGAGGUGUCAACCUUGCUCUCUGUGAGUGUGUUUGCCUGAUUUGUGAACACCUUCCCCGUCUUCAUACCAAUUAACCCCAUAUGAAGGUGAAGAUGCCUCUGGAGCGACUAACAGGUGGAAGUAGGCCAGAUCGAAACAUAUAAGAGCAAUCCAAUUAGAUACAGGAAUUUGAAAUAUAGAAGGAAUUAAGCAAGAGGUGAUAGGAGGAGGCGAUGCGGCGUUUUCAAUUUUUUUCCUGUUUUUCGGUUAAAAGAUGAAAUCUUGGACUAGGAAGAAAGAAAAGUAUAGACAGGUGUUGUCAACCUUGCUCUCUGUGAGGGUGUUUGCCUCAUUUAUGAACACCUUCCCCGUCUUCAUACCAAUUAACGCCAUCUGAAGGUGAAGAUGCCACUGGAGCGACUAACAGGUAGAAGUAGGCCAGAUCUAAACAUAUAAAAGCAAUCAAAUCAGAUACAGGAAUUUGACAUAUAGAAGAAUCAUAUCCAGGGAUUUGAGAAGCAAGAGGUAGUAGGAGAAAGCGAUGGAGUUUUUUUUCCUUUUUCCUUUUGAUUUUUAUGAGGAGGAGGAGAUGACUCAUACGAAAUCAGGAAUUGGUGGUGGUUUAGGUUGAGUAAACGGGUUGGGGGGAGAGAGAGAGAGACAGAGAGAAGAAGAAGAAGAAGAAGAAGAAGAAGAGGUGGAGAACAGGCAAACUACGAAGUAACGGAGAUAAGUUGUGAUUUAUAGCAGCUUUGCAGUCUGACUUGUACUUUGCUGGCAAACCCUAGGGCAAGUUGAAAUUACUACAUUAACCCCGUUUAGCGAGAUAGAACGUUUAGCUAAUAGGCUUCUUUUCGUCUUUACAACAAGCCACUCCAUAAGCCACAAAACUCGAGCUCACAAGCUGAAGCUGGAACCCAGGCACUAGACCACAAGCCACAAGCCAAGCCACAAACCUCAACCCCAGAGAUGGAACUAGGCACCAGACUAGGAUAACUUUAUGCAAAAAGUCUCAAUCCAAAGUCCUUGCGCCAUGCCACCUGACUGUAAUUAAUUUCAUUCAACUGUUACCACACGAGUCCUUGUGCCAUGCCACCUGACUGUAAUUAAUUUCAUUCAACUGUUACUCCGUACAAUUCACUUUUUAUUUUAAUGCAUCUUUAUUUACCAAAAAAGAAAAAAAAUCAAUUUCAUUUAACUGCACAAAACUCCUCUCUCUUACUUUUCUACUGCCUCUGCUCUCUAUACUUGCAAACUGCGGCAAAAAUUUAGCAGCAUCGAUUAUGAUGGCAUCAUUGACGAACUCGACUAAAAUUUCAUUACUUUCCACCAAUUCGGAGGAAUAUCCUCCUCUCAAAUUCCUAUUCCAAGCCGGCAAAAAUGGAACCCUUCCCGGAAACGCAGCAGUUUCGGAUUCCCCAAAGAAGCAAUGUUGGAGCUGCUAAGGUAAGCCAAACCCAGCAUGCUGAUAAAGAUAAAGGGGUCUACCCGGUUGGGUUCCUCACCAAACAUGGCAUUUCACAUAAAGCCUUCGCCUUUUUCCUUCGUGAAAGCUAGUAUUGUUUGACCUUUAGCCCUUCUUGUUUUCCUCGUAAUUAUGAAAGUUUUGGUUUUUAUUGGAAGAGAUACCUAGUUUGAUUUUUCACUUUUACUCGCGCGAUGGGAUGUUUAACGUUACCUCAACCUGAGGAGCUGGCUUCUGGGUUAGUGCUUUCUUGCUCUUUCACAUAUUAAUAUUGGGCUAUCUUAUACUAUUAUUUAAAGUUCUAGUUCCUCAUGUUUUUGAAAGUUACUGACUUUCGUUGUUUUUGAUAUCCAAGUGUUUGUCAGAAUUCUUAGCUGAAUUCUCUUUAUUUUUUCCAUAAUUAGCAAUUAUAGCAUGUGUGUUACUAGUGAUGCCUAUGUUUCUUAUUACUAGAUAUGAACUACUGGAGUGAUGCCUAUGUUUUUGAAUUCUAGAUAUGAACUACUAGGAAUGCAACGAAAUGAUAAACAUCUCAGUCAAAUGAUAAACAUCAACAUUGGUAGCAUCUCAGUCAAAUGAUAAACAUCAUACAUCUGAUCUCUUAUACCACCAUUUUUUCUUUUGUAUGCAGCAAAUAAAAAAGGUGCAAGAACAAAGAUAAAGCUACCUCUAAACCAAACCUUCUCUAAUAACUAGAUAAAAGAAAGGGUCCGUUGGGAUUUAACAGAUUAUCGGAGGUGUCAGUGGCCUAUGUGGAUAGACCGGCAGAUGCUGAAAUACCAAAACAGCAUGCCCAAUGCUUGAUAAAAAUUAACAGGAUAAAGAAGUCUUCUUGAGCCUAUCCACUCCUUAACAUUAGAGACCACAGAUCAUGCCCAGUGUAUUAAUAACAAUAAACAGGAUGAAGAAGUCUUCUUAAGCCUAUCCACUGUUUAGAUAUUAGGGUCCAUAGGAGGUUUCUCACAUUUUGAAUGGUAAUUUUAGUGGCCAACUUUCCAGCAAUAGAGGUCUGAAUAUGGGAAAAGGGUAAUAUUAGCAAAAUCUUGAAUACAUUACUUCAAAAGCAUAUCAAUAUGGCAUUUUGCCUCAACAUCUAAACAGGAAAAGUGAUUUAAAGAAGAGCACAAUUUACCUUUUUUAGUCGCCUCGGACCCCAAGUUGAGGACGACCAUCUAGAACGGGAAAAUGUUUCCGCAUACAAGCCAUCAUUGAUAAAGCCUCUGCAGUAAGCUACAAACAUUGAAGACUUGCAGAAAAGAUGAACUUUAGGUUAUUUAUGUGCAAUUUGGGGUAGCAUGGUUGGUAUUUUCUAACGAAAAGCCAUGAAAUCAUUACAGCAACUAGUAUAAAGACCAUCAAGCUUCUUUACCAGAAAUUGUGCAUCCAUG
rnacentral:lncRNA from 1 species